AGUGAACGCUGGCGGUAGGCCUAACACAUGCAAGUCGAACGGCAGCACAGUAAGAGCUUGCUCUUACGGGUGGCGAGUGGCGGACGGGUGAGGAAUACAUCGGAAUCUACUUUUUCGUGGGGGAUAACGUAGGGAAACUUACGCUAAUACCGCAUACGACCUACGGGUGAAAGCAGGGGAUCUUCGGACCUUGCGUGAUUGAAUGAGCCGAUGUCGGAUUAGCUAGUUGGCGGGGUAAAGGCCCACCAAGGCGACGAUCCGUAGCUGGUCUGAGAGGAUGAUCAGCCACACUGGAACUGAGACACGGUCCAGACUCCUACGGGAGGCAGCAGUGGGGAAUAUUGGACAAUGGGCGCAAGCCUGAUCCAGCCAUACCGCGUGGGUGAAGAAGGCCUUCGGGUUGUAAAGCCCUUUUGUUGGGGAAGAAAAGCAGCAGGUUAAUACCCCGCUGUUCUGACGGUACCCAAAGAAUAAGCACCGGCUAACUUCGUG
rnacentral:rRNA from 1 species